CAUGGCGUAAAAUUUUGACCUUAUGAUGUUUUGGGGCCUUAAAAUGAGUUACUCUGACCUCCUGAAGUCAUCCCAGUGGUUUGCAAUGUGUUACUGUGUACACCGAGCUGUGCUGGAGGAUCCUCCCAAUUUGUAAACAAACUCUGACACAGCAUCCAAUUGACGCAAAGCUCGUGUGUGCCCGAGAUGACGUCCUGACCUCGUUCGCUCUCAACUCGUCCACGCCCUCUCUCCACCCACUAGCACGCCCAUUCAUUUGAAAACUCUAUAAAUACCAGCAGAACACCACAUACCUACCGGUUCAAUGUCUGAGGGAACAUUUUCCGGACUAAUGCUUUCACAAUCUGGGACAAUACAGAGCAAGUUAUGGCCAACACCUGACGCUGAAGUCUGGAUCAAUACCACCAAGCCUCCUGAACAAAAGUUCCUGUUACAGACGGUCAUGAUGAGUAGAAGAAGGCAACAUGAUGAAGCAAAACUCCUCCUUCACCACUACGUUGGAGUCUUCCCAUUCAGUCAUCAUCCAAUUUGCUCCAAAUAAUCAAACACAAGCAGACGCUUCUUACAGAUGGCUGUCCUCUAGAAUGAAAAUGCACACCAACCACUGGCAAACAUCAAAAGCUAAUCCAACCUUUGGCUUUGUGUGGAAAGGUCUUCAGAAACCCUGCGACUGAUGCAAUGUUGGUGCCCUAGAAGACAAGUCAGCACAGUUCAGACGAGCCAGCCAGAGGAGGUCACCGCCAGCCUUGUAUCGAGGUUCCAAC